ensembl:lncRNA
AAUCGCAAACGUUUCAUAUAUCAGAUGAGGACGUGGCUGCAGCCAGUGAAUGACUCUUAUAAGAUGCAGGGUCUGCUUUCUUUGACACGAAUCACCAAAAUAAGUGCCUUUAAGAAUUCAACGUCAAAUUUGAAGCAACACAUUGAGAUGGACAGGGCUGAUGUAUAUAACUGUACCCAGGAGGACUAGCUUCAUUUAAUGCUAUGGUCACGGGGGAGCCUGGAGCCUAUCCCAGGGAGCAUCGGGCACAAGGCGGGGUACACCCUGGACAGGGUGCCAGUCCAUCGCAGGGCACACAAUCACACACACAUUCACACACCCAUUCAUACGACACGGCAAUUAAUACUUUUCAGAAAUAUAACUUUUUCAAAAUAUGAAAGCUCGUCUGAUGCAGAAGAAGGUACACCCAUUUUACCCAAGGCACCUUUAACGGGAAUGUAGUAUAAAUCAAUGUGAGCUAGUUUUGGUGAGCUUGCACCCACUGCAGCCAC